rnacentral:misc_RNA from 1 species
GAAUUCCAAAGCAAAUCGCAUACACUAACUAUAUUCAUUAGCCGAAAAACAAAGCAAAACAAAUUAACAACAAUAAUAAUAAAAGGAAAUUCACAUUCGCUUCUCUAUAGUUCCUUUGAUAAAACCAAUACAACAAACAAACAAAAAUUUAUAAAAAAAUGUUUAAAAAUCUUUUCCUCGGUUGUUUUAUUUCCUCUCCUUUCCUCCAGUUUCUCGGGAG